UGGAGGCACCAGUUAUGUUGCUCCUUUUACAGGUCUGUUUUGACCAUACUACUUAUUUCUAAUUUGAUUAUAAAUAAAGAAAUGAAAUUUAAUGCCAAGUUCUCACUUAAAUUAUCAAUUCCAAAUUGUGUGUGCAUUAAUGAGAUUUCACUGCACUAAUAAUAACAGCAAGUGCCAAAAGGGUAAGCCAAUCAAUUACAGGCCUACCGAUGAGCACCAAGAAAAUCACACCUGCACCUUGAGUCCUGUGUGAUAGGUCACACCUAUCUAGCUCACAACUCAACUCCACUGAGGCUGAACUCCAAGAGAAAAGCAAGAUUAGCAAAGAAGCAGCCACGAGAAACUUCCAUGUGGUGGUAAUGGCACCUACCUGACACUUAUGGUCCUAACAGCUGAUUUCUGGGCCUACCUUGGGAGAGUUAGUGGUGAGUGGAAUCUAGGAUGGGAACAAAUUCUGAGUUCUUGAGGUCCAUGGAAUCUGACAUUCUUCUAGAAUUUUA